AUUCUCAAUUUAUGUGAUGCAGGUGACAAAAUCAUCUGAGGAAGAAUCUUCCCUUCCCAAUGGUGACGUAGGGGGAGAGGUACAGAGCAGCGCAGAGGGAACAGAGAAGACUGAAGAGAGUGGAGAAAAUGAGGCACAAAAAGAGGACAAUGAAGAUGCAGGCAACCUCACCGAAUCUCAAGAGAAGAAUACAGAAGAAGUAACCGAGGAGGGAGCAGAAGGGGACGCAGAGGAAGAGGAAGCUGAGAAAGGAGAAGAAGAGGCAGGAGAAGAAGAAGAAGAAGAAGAAGAAGGGGAAGAUUCUUAGGCCUCGUCGUGCUUUCUUUCUUCAACUUUUCCAGAAACCCAAGCCACGAAGCAGUAUUUCGACUGUCUGCCCACAAACGAAACUGAACACAAUACUUUGGCGCGAAGCUAGCCCACCUCUCUCGGUACACCCGGGUUCACUGAGGACCUGUACCGUCUGACAUGGUUACAUGUACACGGAUACGUCUACCUAAUCUUAGCAACAUGAAAUUCUAUGUGAAGACAGCUCAUGUCUACCUUCAUGUGCCUGACCUCCUUGGCCUUUGCUUAAUUUUUUUUUUUUUUUUUUUUGGCUCUGCAUGAUUAGAUCUUCUUACUAAUACCCUGAAAAAAAAAAGAUUUUGAAAAAUGAUUUCAAAAUAUAGAACUUCUCUUUGUGAUGUAAUAACAGUAUUUCUUCAUAUGUGCCUUCUGCUACUUGUCCCAAAAUUAGCUGAAAAUAGAGAGCUUUGAAAAUAAAGAGCUUUCCAGAAAACA
rnacentral:lncRNA from 1 species